UGGCACCGGUCUUGCCCGGCCCUUGCUAACAGGUGCAAGUUAAGCACCUGGACAGCCAGCAAUUCUUGCUAGCACUCGGUGUCCCCUUAUCACGGUGACCCGCAUUGUAAAGAUUUCGCGCCUGCUGCGCCCCGUAGGGCCUGGAUUAUUGUCUCAGAAUCCAUCUCCGGGCUCUUGCUCUCACAACCCGUACCCGUCGUAGGCUAGCAGGUACAUUACACCCGCUACUACCUGAUAGGCCGCAGACCCAUCCUUGGGCGGAAAAAAACCGUUUAAAACGUAAAGCAUUCCAGCAGAUACGGAGUAUCCGAUAUUAUCCCCAGUUUUCCCGGGGUUAUGCCGGUCCCAAGGGCAGGUUAUCCACGUGUUACUGAGCAAUAUGCCAUGUUCACGAAGAACAUAUGACUCGCAUGGCUUAGACGAACACCGAUAGCAGUGACC
rnacentral:rRNA from 1 species